CUCAGCAGCUGCUGACAAAGUGAAGCUACUGGCUGUGAGAUCAGACCUGGAAUUGGUGGGGGUAAGGAAAACCUGGCUGGACGAGAGGCUGUGGUGAACGCGGUGGGAAGGACGCUUUGUUCCCGACGGAGCGGGGACCCCGGCGGCAGCCAGACCUGCACAGCCACAGACGCUCGCAAAGUUGACCCCGAGCCUGUUCAUAGGGCUUUAGCUCCUGGACACCAAACAUCCUUCCUUGACUGUGCUCUUGGUCAGCUGGAACCCCCCCAAAAUCUCUGUGAGACUAGAUGGAGCUUGCUUUGGUCCUGCAGCCCCACUCCAGCAUGUCGCCAGGGGCUGUGGGAGGCCACCACGGAC